GGGUUGUGAGGUUAAGCGACUAAGCGUACACGGUGGAUGCCCUGGCAGUCAGAGGCGAUGAAGGACGUGCUAAUCUGCGAAAAGCGUCGGUAAGGUGAUAUGAACCGUUAUAGCCGGCGAUGUCCGAAUGGGGAAACCCAGUGCAAUUCGUUGCACUAUCGUUAACUGAAUACAUAGGUUAACGAGGCGAACCGGGGGAACUGAAACAUCUAAGUACCCCGAGGAAAAGAAAUCAACCGAGAUUCCCCCAGUAGCGGCGAGCGAACGGGGAGCAGCCCAGAGUCUGAAUCAGCUUGUGUGUUAGUGGAACGGUCUGGAAAGUCCGACGGUACAGGGUGAUAGUCCCGUACACCAAAAUGCACAGGUUGUGAACUCGAAGAGUAGGGCGGGACACGUGGUAUCCUGUCUGAAUAUGGGGGGACCAUCCUCCAAGGCUAAAUACUCCUGACUGACCGAUAGUGAACCAGUACCGUGAGGGAAAGGCGAAAAGAACCCCGGCGAGGGGAGUGAAAAAGAACCUGAAACCGUGUACGUACAAGCAGUGGGAGCACCUUCGGGUGUGACUGCGUACCUUUUGUAUAAUGGGUCAGCGACUUAUAUUCUGUAGCAAGGUUAACCGUAUAGGGGAGCCGCAGGGAAACCGAGUCUUAACUGGGCGUUAAGUUGCAGGGUAUAGACCCGAAACCCGGUGAUCUAGCCAUGGGCAGGUUGAAGGUUGGGUAACACUAACUGGAGGACCGAACCGACUAAUGUUGAAAAAUUAGCGGAUGACUUGUGGCUGGGGGUGAAAGGCCAAUCAAACCGGGAGAUAGCUGGUUCUCCCCGAAAGCUAUUUAGGUAGCGCCUCGUGAACUCAUCUUCGGGGGUAGAGCACUGUUUCGGCUAGGGGGUCAUCCCGACUUACCAACCCGAUGCAAACUACGAAUACCGAAGAAUGUUAUCACGGGAGACACACGGCGGGUGCUAACGUCCGUCGUGAAGAGGGAAACAACCCAGACCGCCAGCUAAGGUCCCAAAGUCAUGGUUAAGUGGGAAACGAUGUGGGAAGGCACAGACAGCCAGGAUGUUGGCUUAGAAGCAGCCAUCAUUUAAAGAAAGCGUAAUAGCUCACUGGUCGAGUCGGCCUGCGCGGAAGAUGUAACGGGGCUAAACCAUGCACCGAAGCUGCGGCAGCGACACUAUGUGUUGUUGGGUAGGGGAGCGUUCUGUAAGCCUGCGAAGGUGACCUGUGAGGGUUGCUGGAGGUAUCAGAAGUGCGAAUGCUGACAUAAGUAACGAUAAAGCGGGUGAAAAGCCCGCUCGCCGGAAGACCAAGGGUUCCUGUCCAACGUUAAUCGGGGCAGGGUGAGUCGACCCCUAAGGCGAGGCCGAAAGGCGUAGUCGAUGGGAAACAGGUUAAUAUUCCUGUACUUGGUGUUACUGCGAAGGGGGGACGGAGAAGGCUAUGUUAGCCGGGCGACGGUUGUCCCGGUUUAAGCAUGUAGGCUGGUUGUCCAGGCAAAUCCGGAUAAUCAAGGCUGAGGUGUGAUGACGAGGUACUACGGUGCUGAAGUAACAAAUGCCCUGCUUCCAGGAAAAGCCUCUAAGCAUCAGGUAACAUCAAAUCGUACCCCAAACCGACACAGGUGGUCAGGUAGAGAAUACCAAGGCGCUUGAGAGAACUCGGGUGAAGGAACUAGGCAAAAUGGUGCCGUAACUUCGGGAGAAGGCACGCUGGUGUGUAGGUGAAGUCCCUGCGGAUGGAGCUGAGACCAGUCGAAGAUACCAGCUGGCUGCAACUGUUUAUUAAAAACACAGCACUGUGCAAACACGAAAGUGGACGUAUACGGUGUGACGCCUGCCCGGUGCCGGAAGGUUAAUUGAUGGGGUUAUCCGUAAGGAGAAGCUCUUGAUCGAAGCCCCGGUAAACGGCGGCCGUAACUAUAACGGUCCUAAGGUAGCGAAAUUCCUUGUCGGGUAAGUUCCGACCUGCACGAAUGGCGUAAUGAUGGCCAGGCUGUCUCCACCCGAGACUCAGUGAAAUUGAACUCGCUGUGAAGAUGCAGUGUACCCGCGGCAAGACGGAAAGACCCCGUGAACCUUUACUAUAGCUUGACACUGAACAUUGAGCCUUGAUGUGUAGGAUAGGUGGGAGGCUUUGAAGCGUGGACGCCAGUCUGCGUGGAGCCAACCUUGAAAUACCACCCUUUAAUGUUUGAUGUUCUAACGUUGGCCCCUGACCGGGGUUGCGGACAGUGUCUGGUGGGUAGUUUGACUGGGGCGGUCUCCUCCCAAAGCGUAACGGAGGAGCACGAAGGUUAGCUAAUCCUGGUCGGACAUCAGGAGGUUAGUGCAAUGGCAUAAGCUAGCUUGACUGCGAGCGUGACGGCGCGAGCAGGUGCGAAAGCAGGUCAUAGUGAUCCGGUGGUUCUGAAUGGAAGGGCCAUCGCUCAACGGAUAAAAGGUACUCCGGGGAUAACAGGCUGAUACCGCCCAAGAGUUCAUAUCGACGGCGGUGUUUGGCACCUCGAUGUCGGCUCAUCACAUCCUGGGGCUGAAGUAGGUCCCAAGGGUAUGGCUGUUCGCCAUUUAAAGUGGUACGCGAGCUGGGUUUAGAACGUCGUGAGACAGUUCGGUCCCUAUCUGCCGUGGGCGCUGGAGAAUUGAGGGGGGCUGCUCCUAGUACGAGAGGACCGGAGUGGACGCAUCACUGGUGUUCGGGUUGUCAUGCCAAUGGCACUGCCCGGUAGCUAAAUGCGGAAGAGAUAAGUGCUGAAAGCAUCUAAGCACGAAACUUGCCCCGAGAUGAGUUCUCCCUGAGACUUUAAGUCUCCUGAAGGAACGUU
rnacentral:rRNA from 1 species